rnacentral:rRNA from 1 species
GACGAACGCUGGCGGCGUGCUUAACACAUGCAAGUCGAACGGAAAGGCCCUGCUUGCAGGGUACUCGAGUGGCGAACGGGUGAGUAACACGUGGGUGAUCUGCCCUGCACUUCGGGAUAAGCCUGGGAAACUGGGUCUAAUACCGGAUAGGAGCCAUUUUUAGUGUGAUGGUUGGAAAGUUUUUUCGGUGUAGGAUGAGCUCGCGGCCUAUCAGCUUGUUGGUGGGGUAAUGGCCUACCAAGGCGGCGACGGGUAGCCGGCCUGAGAGGGUGGACGGCCACAAUGGGACUGAGAUACGGCCCAGACGCCUACGGGGGGCAGCAGUAGGGAAUAUUGCACAGUGGGCGCGAGCCUGAUGCAGCGACGCCGCGUGGGGGAUGACGGCCUUCGGGUUAUAAACUCCUUUCGCUAGGGACGAAGCUUUUGUGACGGUACCUAAAUAAGAAGCACCGGCUAACUACGUG